GUGAUAUUUAUCCAAACUUUAUUCAGCCCCAGUUCUCCAGUCUCAAUUUGCUCUAGUUGCUUUUGCUGCUGCACCAAAUCUUCAUUCAGUUUGGGGAUUUCUUGGAAGGAUGUCUUUUGAUUAGACUCCAUGGUUCGGAACUUUUCCUUGAUCACAUCCAGGUCCUCCUUGAGAGCCACCUGCAUCCAGACGAGGCCCACACACGCCACCACGCAGGCAGCCAGAAUGACGAAAGCACAGAGAGGGUAACAGAACUUGCAGCAGCGUAGGUAGUCCCCCUUGGUGCAGCGGCCCCGUCCCCCCGCCGCCGCGAACUCGUCCUCCUCAGAGCUGGACUCGGAGUCGGAUGCGGGCGGCUCGGUGCGCAGCAGCCGGUGCCCCGAGCCCUUCUUGGCGGGCUUCUUCCUGCGGCCGUCGGCGGCCAGGCCGAUGAGGGCGUUCAGCUCCUUGCGCUUCUUCAUCCUCUUGUGCGGCGUGGGGGGCGGCGGAGCGGCCGGCGGCUGCCCCUCGCUGCCGCCACCGCCUCCUCCUCCUUCCGCCGCCGCGGCCCCCGCCGCCUCCUCGCCCCGACUCGCCAGCUCCGCGGGGCCCCGCCGCGGCUACAGGCGCUGCGCGGGGCCGCCGCUGCUCCCCCGCCGGCCCCGUGCAGCCCCGUCCCGGUCCCCCGCCCGCGCCAUGGCAGCUGCGGGCGCCGCCGCGGCCCGCCCCUCGCCCGCCAGCAAGCCGCGCUCCCGUUGGGCGGCGGGACCCGCCCCGCCUCUCCGUUGGGGUGAAAGUGGCGUGUGAGAACGAGAGUUCGAAUCCCGCCUCCUUCAGGGGCAACCCGCCGCUUGCAGAGCCGCUGAGGAGAUAUUGGUGGGAGAUGUCUCGGUUUCGAAUCCCACCUCCACCAGGGCGGCCCUGCUGCUGUGGAGGCAGCCCUUUACCAGCAUCUAUAGAGAGGGUAUUCCCUACAAAUACCGCUUGUGGGCACAGUGAAAUGUUAUCUUGAUGCUAAGAUACUUUUAUACUUGAGGCCGUUACUUCUCACCCUAUUGCUAGGCUCAGGGAAGACCUUAUUUGCUCUCUACAGCUCUCUGAAAGGAGGCUGUGGUGAGGUGGGCAUCAG
rnacentral:lncRNA from 1 species